ensembl:lncRNA
UCCAUUUCUGGCGUGGUGUGUGAGUGCCUGGAAGAUUUUUGGAUGAUUUUGUCUACUAUUUUCUACAUGUGCUACAGAAAGAGGCUGGUUUAACCAGCUGUGGCUUGUCAUUGGACCGUUAGACACUAUCACCUGGCUGGGUUGGUACUUCGGCUCUCCGCAAGAAUUGGGCAACCGGAGUCAGGGAGCUCAGCGCUUUCUCCUUUCCCUCUGGUGGUGGUAUCCUUCACUAACUGCUGUGCUCGAUUUUGGGGUGCUGUGUGUCAGCUCAGAGUGGUGGUGACUGUUCAGCAGAGGUGUUGUUUUUCUUCCUGGUAAGCAUACUCUGCAAUGGUUAAACUAUGGAGGAGGAAUUGCAAGAAAUUAGGGAUUUAGCGGCCCAAUUAAGGGCAGAUAAUGAGCGACUACGCCUAGAGUGGGUGCCAAUUGAGUUGCUCAAUCCUGGCACAGCCUCUCUUAGUGUGGCGUCACUGGUUAUGCCCCAGUUGGUUGGUAUGAGUGUCGGGGUGGCAAAGCGAUUUGUGUUUAUACCAAGAGACAGGUGCUGUCCUAAAUUUCAUGGUAGGGCCUGUAUCUGUAUUAACGAGUGGGUUGAAGAAGCCCAGGUGUGUAUGCGUGUGCAUAAUAUGUCUCUUGCUGAUCAAGCCUUCUUCUUAUUUGAUCAUCUAGAAGGAGAGGCCUGUAAUGAGAUAAAUAUCGGCCAGAGGUUGAAAAGAGCGAUCUAGAUAAGAUUGCUUGAGCGCUGCGUGAGUUGUGUAUGUGAUCUGAGUCGUAUGUUGCACUGCAAGAAGCGUUUUUCCCUCUGUAAUCGCUGGUUUUCUACAUUAGCGCUGGUCAGUCUGUAUAACCAAGUCCCUGUCUCUGAAGUUGACUGGCCUAAGACCGCUUUUUGUGCGACGUUUGGACUACUUGAAUGGACUCGGAUGCCUUUCGGUCUAUAUAACGUCCCAAUUACAUUCGAACGUUUGAUGGAAUGGCUUUUUGGAGACCAGAGGCAUCAAUCUGUUUUAUUAUGUCUUGGUGAUAUUAUUGUGUUUUCCUCAUCUGUGCAGCAACAUCUGCAGAGAUUGCGGGUGGUGUUGGGUCGCUUGAG